GGAAAUUGUAGUCAGUUUUAAAAAUUUUUACGCAAUUAUUUUCGGACACGUUCGAAAACAAAUAAAUGAACCAAGACUGCAUGUCGUAAUCUCUCUGAAAGGGCGAAGCAGUAACUAAAGGGUGUAUAUAUAUAUAUAGGCAUCUAACGGAAGUGAUUUAACGAUCACACGGACGGGUUAUUAGAGACCUUACGAUUUUAGGACGGCAACGCGACGACGACGGCCAAAACAAACUCCCUCAAAUAAAUGGUAGUAUUAAGCCCACUAUUUGUUGUAUAUUAGUUUCUCAUCCGGAGC